rnacentral:rRNA from 1 species
GGCUACUACAUCCAAGGAAGGCAGCAGGCGCGCAAAUUACCCAAUCCCGACACGGGGAGGUAGUGACAAUAAAUACUGAUACAGGGCCCUUAUGGGUCUUGUAAUUGGAAUGAGAACAAUUUAAAUCCCUUAACGAGGAACAAUUGGAGGGCAAGUCUGGUGCCAGCAGCCGCGGUAAUUCCAGCUCCAAUAGCGUAUAUUAAAGUUGUUGCAGUUAAAAAGCUCGUAGUUGAACCUUGGGCCUGGCUGGUCGGUCCGCCUCACCGCGUGCACUGAUCCGGCCGGGUCUUUCCCUCUGGGGAACCUCAUGUCCUUUAUUGGGCGUGUUGGGGAACCAGGACUUUUACUUUGAAAAAAUUAGAGUGUUCAAAGCAGGCCUAUGCUCGAAUACAUUAGCAUGGAAUAAUAGAAUAGGACGUGUGGUUCUAUUUUGUUGGUUUCUAGGACCGCCGUAAUGAUUAAUAGGGACAGUCGGGGGCAUCAGU